rnacentral:rRNA from 1 species
UACGAAGGGGGCUAGCGUUGCUCGGAAUUACUGGGCGUAAAGGGUGCGUAGGCGGACAGUUUAGUCGGGGGUGAAAGCCCGGGGCUCAACCUCGGAAUUGCCUUCGAUACUGGCUGUCUUGAGUACGGGAGAGGUGUGUGGAACUCCGAGUGUAGAGGUGAAAUUCGUAGAUAUUCGGAAGAACACCAGUGGCGAAGGCGGCUCACUGGACCGGCAUUGACGCUGAGGUGCGAAAGCGUGGGGAGCGAACAGG